rnacentral:rRNA from 1 species
GACGACCGCUGGCGGCGUGCUUAACACAUGCAAGUCGCACGGCCAGGCCCUGCUUUUGUGGGGUGCUCGAGUGGCGAACGGGUGAGUAACACGUGAGUAACCUGCCCUUGACUUUGGGAUAACUUCAGGAAACUGGGGCUCAUACCGGAUAGGAGCUCCUGCUGCAUGGUGGGGGGUGGAAAGUUUCGGCGGUUGGGGAUGGACUCGCGGCUUAUCAGCUUGUUGGUGGGGUAGUGGCUUACCAAGGCUUUGACGGGUAGCCGGCCUGAGAGGGUGACCGGCCACAUUGGGACUGAGAUACGGCCCAGACUCCUACGGGAGGCAGCAGUGGGGAAUAUUGCACAAUGGGCGGAAGCCUGAUGCAGCAACGCCGCGUGCGGGAUGACGGCCUUCGGGUUGUAAACCGCUUUCGCCUGUGACGAAGCGUGAGUGACGGUAAUGGGUAAAGAAGCACCGGCUAACUACGUG